GGGGGGGGUCAUGGAUAGAAAUAUAGCUUUGGCAAUGGGAGGAAUUUGUUUUUCGGAGAAGCGGGAAUCAAAGAGAUCGGGGAUUGAAGUUCGAGAAUCGGGCGAAUCGGGUUAAAAAUGUAGCAGGAACUCGGAAAUCAGGGGACCUAUAACGGUUUAUCGUCUGUUCCCAAACUCUGUAGGGGGGGGGCAUUAAAAUUUCGAAUAAAAAUCAUGCCCGAAUAAAGUCAUCUCGAUGUAUAUUUGCAAACUAUGUACUUAAAUUAAGGUUCAGAAUGAGUGCAAUGUGGUACAGCUAGAGCAGUCUCAGAUAAAGGAAGCAGGGGGUAAGAAUAAACUAAUCCUCGAAGAGAAUCUUCAAAACUCGAAGAGAAACAGCAGUUUGUCUACCACAAAUUUAAGUCUUGGGGCCUCCGCUGCUCAAUAUAUACCUACAUUACCCUUUUAUACUAGUGAGACAUUGAAGUUUGUAACUUUGCAGAUAAAGCAACAAUCUAUGCUUGUGAUAGCAGUAUCGAAUGUGGCAUCAAAACAUUAGAGAGAACAAUGAAAAAAAAUGAAAAAACAUCGCCAGCUUGAAAAAACUGGGGUGGACAAAUACAAAUUUUCUCGUCCACGCCCUUCAGACUCUUGGAAAAUUCUUUUUAAGUAUUUUUAUCUAUUUUGAACUGUUUGGACAAGCAGCUUUCUCAAGCAGCAUUUUCCUUAACGGUGGCUUUUUUGCCAGUGCAAAAAUCGAAAUCAGCCCAAUUCACGUCCACCCCAGUGCACCCCCAGCCCACCUCGUGGCGACGCCACUGAGAGAGAUACAUUUAAGAUUGCACAAGUGUCACAUUAUGGUAUUUGGUGAUGAAAAUAAAAAUGUUUCUUUGGAUAAUAGAAGUUGAGAAAUAAUUUUUUUGCAUCCUAUUUCCUAACGCAUUUGCACCUUUCUGAGAAAAAUUACAUCUAAGACAAAGUUUAGCAAAAAUUUAACAUUUGUCUGUCAAAAUUGUUUCUGUUUCAUUCCGAAAGGACCCAGAAUGGGGACUUUAGAUCCUACUACCCCUCCUAUAAUACCUUGCUCGCUUUUCGAGAAAAUUGAUAGCAACAUUCGAUGGUGUUUAAACAGGGUUCGACAUGAAAUCAAUGUUUUAUAUUAUAAUGAAAGAACAAUACAUGGUUAGGUGGUACGAAAUGAGUAAAAAGUUACCAGGAGUUUCUCACAGUUUAAAAGAGGGUCAAAAGAACGAAGUGAGAGAAGAAGGGAACGAUUGGAUUCAGACAAAUCGAAUAAGCCUUAACUUUUGUAUAGGAAAAAAUAAAGGACGCCCCUUCUUAAAUGACAACCGUCGAAUCUUUUAUGGUAAAAAGUAUUUAAAUAUGAUCGUAUAGUGAGGUAGCGGCCCCUUAUCCAUGCCCUCCCACCACUAAUUGUGAGUAUCGGAGAUUGAGUUCUGAAAUAUCACCCUUGGACCUUGACAAAGAAACACAUCUUACACCCUGUUUUAGUUCGGAGUAUUUUAAAAAUUCAUGAACUUGGCAUAGGUAGUUUAGGAUCCCGCAUUUGCUAUUCAUGCUAGUGGCGAAGAGAUCAUUUAACUCAAGAACAUGCGUGUCAUCUUGAUAGCCGUUUUACAAACAUAUCUUGUUGCAACCCUGAUUUUUAUUGUAACAGAAAAUGACGUCGCAGCAUUUUCCACAGGGCUAGGAGGGCAGUUCUUUGGAAAGAAAGAGCUCAAGGUUCCAAAGAAACCGAGUUCAAAGCAGGAAAAUAGGAAUAGAAGAUUGAGAAUAACAAGUACAAAGAUUUCGAGAAGAUGUCAAGUUGCAAUGCAGCUAUUCUUACGGGGACUUCUCGGUGAAGAUGUCAACAUUGCAGGCAAAGGAAACUUGGACAAAGCAUAAUCACAUUAUGGUCUGAAAAUGGUGAUUUCGGAUCGUAUCAUGCCCAAUUUGUUAGUCAUGGAUUACUGAUUUAGAACCUCAUUGGUGUAGUAUUAAAAUUUCUCCAUAAAAAUCUGGUGUUGAAUGUGAUUCUAAAUUAGAUGACCUAAAAAGUCUGAUUUGAUCGGAGUACAUUUUAAUUGAGCUGUAACUCUGCAAGGCUCGAAUGCUGAAAAUAAUUGAAUCUCAUGAAUCGGUACGUAGAUGUUUUGCGCAGCAGAGUAUUAAUAAUGCUCAGGGCAAAUGAUGCACGUGUGACCUGUCUUGUAUUUGUUACUGGCUAGCCUCCCAAGGUAGGUUUGAGAGACACUGAGAAGCUAUGCUUAUAGAGCAAUGUCCUGUUCCUUUCAAUUUGACCAUACCUCGUGAAUUCUACGCCUGGAAUCAGAGAAACCUGGCGAAUCCCUAAGGAAAAGUUUGGUCACGUUAUAGUCUCGAACUUUUUGAUCUGUUGUCCGCGACGCUAACCACAGAUCUUCAUAUAUGACAUAAACUCCUUUUUUACAAGAAAGAUUACAUAAGGACACGAGCCUCAAAACUGGCAAAAAUUUGAGAACAAAUUAAGAACACGCUGAGGCUGAUCUACUUGAAAAUGUUAUGUUCAAGCAAUGUUUCAUCUCAAAAACGAGAAGUUCUUGCCAUCUAGGGUUGACUUUUCGAUGCAUUUACUAACUUGUUAGCAAAUACAGGAUAUCUCGGUCAUUUUGCUGGCAAACGAGGCUUGAGAAUCUCCCUAGAUUGCAAUAGCUAGCAAUUGCACUGCUUAGACCCUAUUAAUUUAAGAACAAAUUAAGAACAAUACAGUCUCAGUUUGUCGAAAAAAUUAAGAACAGCCAGCCUGAACUUACAUUGCAGAUUUCAAAAGCAAACGGUUCUUUAAAUUAUACAUCGGCCAGUUGCGAGAGGUGUUUUCGAAAAUACCUCAACAGAGAGAAUCUCGCCUUUACAAGGGAAGUAUUGUCUGUAAUGACUCAAUUCGAGGGCUGCGUACAGAUUUUGCGAGCUUUGACAAUUUACUGUUGAAUAAGUAAAAACCCAAUAUUGCAGAAAUUGUUAUGAAAUAAUGUCUAACAACACUUAUCUGGAUGUAUUAACACCAGCCAUCUAAUUCUAGCCUAACACAAACUAAAAUUAUGGCAACAUGCUAAUUCUUUCCCCCAAAGAAACAGUAAGAAACCGAAUAUAGUUACCCAAUAUUGAUAAAUUUUUCAUAGUAUUUGAAAACAUCAUGCAUGCUAAACUUUUCUAAAAAGGCCCCUUACGGUUUGAAGGUUUAAUGAAAGCAGUGGCGGAGAUAAGGGGGAGGGCAACUAGGGGAGGUGCCCCUCCCUCACCGAGUUGAAGCAAGUCUGGCGCCCCUUUUUGGAAAUGGUUUGGCACAAUAAUUGUGAAAAUUCCCUUUAGAACGUGAAUUGAGAGCCUUCUGUCAAUAGUUAGGAUCUGAAAUUAUUGUAUAUAGCGCCCCCACUACCAACUGCCCCUCUUUCAAAUUUGUUCUGGAUCCGCCCCUGAAUGAAAGUACAUCUCUAGUCUAGUGCCAAAUUGACUUUGUAAGUACCCUGGGUACCAGAGCCUCAUUGAAUGAGAUAGUCGAGCAGUGGUCAGCGCUGCCCUAUUCCCUCACUGAGGCUCUGGCACCAAGGGUACUUUGUAAGAUACAUAAUGUCGCAAGUUACUACAAGUUCAACGUCAGUCCAGUCACUUUAUGCUCAAAUACACCCAAAACCCUAAAGGCAUUUGAUACAGAUAAAAGUGGCUUACAGCCAAUCGACCAUCAGCGGUUGACCAAUCGAAUUGCGCAGGGAGAAUACCAUGUGAACAGUUUACGCCUUUCUGUAAAUAGGGGAAAUCCCAGCGCAGCGCAGUGGCUCAAAAUGGUGGAUGAAGUUAUGGCUUCGUCUCCACCAGAGACUAUCGAGAAUCACCAGAGUAUCGAUCUAUCGUUUCAAAAUCAUCAAUAUCGGUUGUCUGGAAUCUUCGAGCAGCCAUUUUCUCACUUAGUGUCUUUGGCAAUGGUCUGAGUUUUUCCCUUUCACGUGCUCUGACUAAUUUAGUCUAAGUCAUUUUUGAAUUUGCUGUAUUUAUGCAUGUCAAAUGCGUUUAAUUGAAUCACAAGCAAUUAUGAUUCGAUCUAAAGCUGAAAACGUGCUUCUCGCUAGAAAAAGCAGCUGAAAAUCAAACUUACGUUAGUACCAGAAAAGACUUCUGUGACAUUAGCAAAUAUAAGAAAUUAAACAAUUUCUUCUGUAUAGAAUAAAAACGUAAAAACAUUAUCGUUACUGUUCGAUUUCCCUAAAAAUCAAAUGAAAUAACAAAACCGUCACCUUAAUUGAACUUGAAAAACACCAUAAAGACAUGGCUGUCGUCACUUGCAAACAGCACAGCUAGGAAACAAAUUAGCAGUGGGCAGAUUUAAUGAAUGUACAUUUUCGGGUUGUAAAAACGAGGUCAACAAAUCAUCCGGCGAUAGAUUUGUAGUUCAUGUAGGCCGUUCGAAACGUUUACGGGCGGGAUUUUUCAGAAAGGGUCAAUCGACACGAGGAAGUGGAAUGCCAGAUAGUUUGAGGUUUGCGUGGCUGCUUUCGAUGCCAGCGUCAGCUGUAGUUUUUAUAAGUAUCUUAUGAAUCAUAAACGUAAAAGAUUGCUCUAAUCAUGAAUAAAAGUCUUACAUAAUCCACCAUAACUGUUCUUUAAGGCAAUAAAUAAAGUGAUUAUUGUUUAUACAAAAACUAAUGUUGGCACAGUAAAAGAAACCAGGCUUGGCAGGGAAUCUCAGGCCUCCCAAAGACGGAAGGCCUCCCAAAAAGCAAGCAAGCAAGCAAGCAAGCAAGCAAGCAAGCAAGCAAGCAAGCAAGUAAACAAGCAAGCAAGCAAGUAAGCAAACAAGCAAGCAAGCAAGCCAGUUUGUGCAGAAGCAAUAUUAAGGGCCCUUGAUGCUGAUGUAAAUUGUCUAAUUACACUUUUCCCGCAAAUUAUCGAUUGGGACUCUGGCAGCCUUUGCCAUACAAAUGAGAAAAUUUUAAAUCAAUAUGUAUUGUAAAUGAAGAAAUGAUACGAAGAAGGAAUGACAUUUUCUUGAUACAGGAAACAAAUGAUUUCACUCCGUAAACAACAAAAGUCUAAUAGGUUUGAAAUCAAGAUCAAGUAGCCCAUUCCCCUUUCAUAAACAAACUGAAUGUUUGUGAAAUGAAAAAAAUGAUGGCACAGAGCGAGAACAUCUAGGGCUUUAGUGAUCUGCUGGGGUUAAAACUGGAAAAAGGGGGCUGAUGCUUGUGAAGGUGACCAUUAAUGGACCAGGUGAUAUGAAAACCGGAAUUAUAUUAGGACAUUGGCCAUUAGAUUGACUCCUUUCAUUUGACCUAGGAUUAGCGCUGUCCAUUUAAUUAUUCGGUCCAAAACCUUACGGUAAUUCGUUUAUUCAGCUAAUAUGAGCGUGGCAAACAUAGGUGUGGCAGGGUAGGGUAAAAAACUACCCACAUCUGAAAAUGUAUUGUCAUUUGACGAAAAUAACCAAUAGCAAUUAGUCAUAACUCUUCGAUCAGUCAGACCUGUUAAUUGUUUUGGUUUUAUUAUUGAUACAGUAUUUGAUCAACCCUUCCGUGCGCAUUGUAUUCGUGUGUAUUCGCAAAGUACUAUUUUUAUAAUUUCAAAAGGUAUGGUGCAUAAGUAUUUUGAAAACAUACAUGCUAUCUUUCUGUCUAUGCAAACGAAAACCACGUUCAGAUAUUCUUUUUAAAAAAUUAAUGUUUCUUCAAUCUUCUCAAAAUUGCAGAGAGGCUAAAAUCAAAAUUGAGCUGAUGCGAGCCCAAUGGCAUACAUUACUUAUGACUAGUUUUAAAAUAGUCGUUUUCCAGCAUUUUGAAGGGUGAAGUCACAAAAGUGUCCCAAGAAAAAGCCCCCUGACCUCCACCCGUUAAGCUCGCUCUACUCUCCCUGCACCCAAAAGCCCCUCGCUUUAUAUUCAUAGGUAUGAUAGCGAAAUGCUCAGAGAAUUUUCGGGUUUACAGCACGUUGGGAUUCAUGAGGACCUUUUCUGGACAUGUUAUGGAACUCUGGCUAGUAAACUUACCAAAUAUUUUUGGAACUGUAAUUUGUUGCGAGUCAAACUAGACAUUGAGCGAUAAACGUAGCAAGCUUGGAGAAAUGCUCACAAGGUAAUCUACUGAAUGAACAAAUAUCAUAUUCCUGAUAAUAUUAGUUAUUCAGUCUUAAAGAGGUAUAAAUCAAGAUAAAGUACACAGACUGUUUCUGAACAUACAAGGUUUUAGCUUUGCAUACAUGCUUGUACAUUUUCUCGUUACCGAAGCCACCCUAUUUAUCAUUCAAAAUCACAUAAUCAGUCAAGAGGAGUCCGGUGUCUUCUAUCUCCACCGAAAAUAUGACAAAUAAGAAAUAAA